rnacentral:rRNA from 1 species
AGUGAACGCUGGCGGUAGGCUUAACACAUGCAAGUCGAACGGCAGCACAGUAAGAGCUUGCUCUUACCGGUGGGGAGUGGCGGACGGGUGAGGAGUACAUCGGAAUCUAGACUUUCGUGGGGGGUAACGAAGGGAAACUUAAGCUAAUACCGCAUACGACCUACGGGUGUAAGCAGGGGAUCGUCGCACCUUGCGCGAUUGAAUGAGCCGAUGGCGGAUUGGCUAGUUGGCGGGGUAAAGGCCCAGCAAGGCGACGAUCCGUAGCUGGCAUGGGAGGGUGAUCAGCCACACGGGAGCGGGGACACGGUCAAGACGCCUACGAGAGGCAGCAGUGGCGAAUAUGGGACAAUGGGGGGAAGCCUGGUCCAGCCAGAGCGCGUGGGUGAAGGAGGCCUUCGGUGUGUAAAGACCUUUUUUUGGGAAUGAAAAGCAGCAGGUUAAGACCCCGCGUUAGUGACGGUACCCGAAGAAGAAGCACCGGCUAACUACGUG